AACGAACGCUGGCGGCAGGCUUAACACAUGCCAGUCGAACGCCCCGCCAGGGGAGUGGCCGACGGGUGAGUAACGCGUGGGAACAUACCCUUUUCUACGGAAUAGCUCUGGGAAACUGGAAUUAAUACCGUAUACGCCCUACGGGGGAAAGAUUUAUCGGGGAAGGAUUGGCCCGCGUUGGAUUAGCUAGUUGGUGGGGUAAAGGCCUACCAAGGCGACGAUCCAUAGCUGGUCUGAGAGGAUGAUCAGCCACAUUGGGACUGAGACACGGCCCAAACUCCUACGGGAGGCAGCAGUGGGGAAUAUUGGACAAUGGGCGCAAGCCUGAUCCAGCCAUGCCGCGUGAGUGAUGAAGGCCUUAGGGUUGUAAAGCUCUUUCACCGAUGAAGAUAAUGACGGUAGUCGGAGAAGAAGCCCCGGCUAACUUCGUG
rnacentral:rRNA from 1 species